ACUCUAAGCGGUGGAUCACUCGGCUCAUGGGUCGAUGAAGAACGCAGCAAACUGUGCGUCAUCGUGUGAACUGCAGGACACAUGAACAUCGACAUUUUGAACGCAUAUCGCAGUCCAUGCUGUUAUGUACUUUAAUUAAUUUUAUAGUGCUGCUUGGACUACAUAUGGUUGAGGGUUGUAAGACUAUGCUAAUUAAGUUGCUUAUAAAUUUUUAUAAGCAUAUGGUAUAUUAUUGGAUAAAUAUAAUAAUUUUUAUUCAUAAUAUUAAAAAAUAAAUGAAAAACAUUAUCUCACAUUUGAAUGUGAAAAACGAAGAGAAAUAUUUUCUUUUUCAAUCAAAUAAUACUGAGAAAUGUCUAGCAUAAAAAAUUGAAAUAUUUUUCAUCUAGAAUUGUCUCUUAUUAAUGAUUCGGAAAUAGAAAAAUCUUGGUUAUGUUAUUAUUCUUCGUUGGUUCGUUAAAAAUGGAUAAAUAAAAACUUUGCAUACAAGAAUUAAUAAAAAUGUUAUAACGAAUUUAAUUAAAUGUUUUAUCAUUAUAUAUAAAGAAUUUAUGGCAAGAUAAAGUUAUAUACAACCUCAACUCAUAUGGGACUACCCCCUGAAUUUAAGCAUAUUAAUUAGGGGAGGAAAAGAAACUAACAAGGAUUUUCUUAGUAGCGGCGAGCGAAAAGAAAACAGUUCAGCACUAAGUCACUUUGUCUAUAUGGCAAAUGUGAGAUGCAGUGUAUGGAGCGUCAAUAUUCUAGUAUGAGAAAUUAACGAUUUAAGUCCUUCUUAAAUGAGGCCAUUUACCCAUAGAGGGUGCCAGGCCCGUAUAACGUUAAUGAUUACUAGAUGAUGUUUCCAAAGAGUCGUGUUGCUUGAUAGUGCAGCACUAAGUGGGUGGUAAACUCCAUCUAAAACUAAAUAUAACCAUGAGACCGAUAGUAAACAAGUACCGUGAGGGAAAGUUGAAAAGAACUCUGAAUAGAGAGUUAAACAGUACGUGAAACUGCUUAGAGGUUAAGCCCGAUGAACCUGAAUAUCCGUUAUGGAAAAUUCAUCAUUAAAAUUGUAAUAUUUAAAUAAUAUUAUGAGAAUAGUGUGCAUUUUUUCCAUAUAAGGACAUUGUAAUCUAUUAGCAUAUACCAAAUUUAUCAUAAAAUAUAACUUAUAGUUUAUUCCAAUUAAAUUGCUUGCAUUUUAACACAGAAUAAAUGUUAUUAAUUUGAUAAAGUGCUGAUAGAUUUAUAUGAUUACAGUGCGUUAAUUUUUCGGAAUUAUAUAAUGGCAUAAUUAUCAUUGAUUUUUGUGUUUAUUAUAUGCACUUGUAUGAUUAACAAUGCGAAAGAUUCAGGAUACCUUCGGGACCCGUCUUGAAACACGGACCAAGGAGUCUAACAUAUGUGCAAGUUAUUGGGAUAUAAACCUAAUAGCGUAAUUAACUUGACUAAUAAUGGGAUUAGUUUUUUAGCUAUUUAUAGCUAAUUAACACAAUCCCGGGGCGUUCUAUAUAGUUAUGUAUAAUGUAUAUUUAUAUUAUUUAUGCCUCUAACUGGAACGUACCUUGAGCAUAUAUGCUGUGACCCGAAAGAUGGUGAACUAUACUUGAUCAGGUUGAAGUCAGGGGAAACCCUGAUGGAAGACCGAAACAGUUCUGACGUGCAAAUCGAUUGUCAGAAUUGAGUAUAGGGGCGAAAGACCAAUCGAACCAUCUAGUAGCUGGUUCCUUCCGAAGUUUCCCUCAGGAUAGCUGGUGCAUUUUAAUAUUAUAUAAAAUAAUCUUAUCUGGUAAAGCGAAUGAUUAGAGGCCUUAGGGUCGAAACGAUCUUAACCUAUUCUCAAACUUUAAAUGGGUAAGAACCUUAACUUUCUUGAUAUGAAGUUCAAGGUUAUGAUAUAAUGUGCCCAGUGGGCCACUUUUGGUAAGCAGAACUGGCGCUGUGGGAUGAACCAAACGUAAUGUUACGGUGCCCAAAUUAACAACUCAUGCAGAUACCAUGAAAGGCGUUGGUUGCUUAAAACAGCAGGACGGUGAUCAUGGAAGUCGAAAUCCGCUAAGGAGUGUGUAACAACUCACCUGCCGAAGCAACUAGCCCUUAAAAUGGAUGGCGCUUAAGUUGUAUACCUAUACAUUACCGCUAAAGUAGAUGAUUUAUAUUACUUGUGAUAUAAAUUUUGAAACUUUAGUGAGUAGGAAGGUACAAUGGUAUGCGUAGAAGUGUUUGGCGUAAGCCUGCAUGGAGCUGCCAUUGGUACAGAUCUUGGUGGUAGUAGCAAAUAAUCGAAUGAGACCUUGGAGGACUGAAGUGGAGAAGGGUUUCGUGUGAACAGUGGUUGAUCACGAGUUAGUCGGUCCUAAGUUCAAGGCGAAAGCCGAAAAUUUUCAAGUAAAACAAAAAUGCCUAACUAUAUAAACAAAGCGAAUUAUAAUACACUUGAAUAAUUUUGAACGAAAGGGAAUACGGUUCCAAUUCCGUAACCUGUUGAGUAUCCGUUUGUUAUUAAAUAUGGGCCUCG
rnacentral:rRNA from 1 species